GCCCUUUUCCGGUUGAUCCUGCCGGAGGUCACCGCUAUGGGAGUCAGAUUAAGCCAUGCUAGCGGAGGGCAGUUCGGCUGCCCCGCGAAAAGCUCAGUAACACGUGGUCAAUCUACCCUUGGGAUCGAGACAACCCCGGGAAACUGGGGAUAAUCCCGAACAAGCGGGGGUUCUGGAAAGUUCCUCGCUGAAACGUUCCGACGCCCAAGGACGAGACUGCGGCCUAUUAGGUCGUCGGUGGGGUAAAGGCCCACCGAGCCAUAGAUGGGUACGGGCCCUGAGAGGGGAAGCCCGGAGAUGGGGACUGAGACAAGGCCCCAGGCCCUACGGGGCGCAGCAGGUGCGAAAAUUCUGCAAUGCGUGCAAGCGCGACAGAGUGACUCCCAGUGCCGAUGGUCUACCGACCGUCGGCUUUUCUGGAAUGUAAAAAGUUCCAGGUAAUAA
rnacentral:rRNA from 1 species